rnacentral:sRNA from 1 species
GGCUGUGAGGGCGAUCUGGCUGCGACAUCUGUCACCUCACUGAUCACCAGGGUUGAUUCGGCUGAUCUGGCUGGCUAGGCGGGUGUCCCCUUCCUCCCUCACUGCUCCAUCUGUGUCCCUCCCGAAGCUGCAUGCUCGGUUGAAGAAGACGACAUUCCCCAAUAGAAGGAGGACUGUCCUUCGGUCAAGGGUAUACAAGUAGCUGCGCUUUCCUGCUAGAGCCUCCAAAUAUUUUCUAUAUUUAUUUUUCCCCUACACUCUCAAU